rfam:Eucalyptus grandis cultivar BRASTZ1 unplaced genomic scaffold scaffold_2, whole genome shotgun sequence.
AAGUUGUUGCAAUUAAAAAGCUCGUAGUUGGACCUUGAGUUGGGUCAACCAGUCCGCCUCAUGGUGUGCAUCGAUUGGCUCAUCCCUUCUACGGGCGAUACGCUCUUGGCCUUAACUGACCAAGUCGUGCCUCCGAUGCUAUUACUUUGAAAAAAUUAGAGUGUUCAAAGUAAGCCUACGCUCUGUAUACAUUAGCACGGGAUAACAUCAUAGGAUUCCGGUCCUAUUAUGUUGAAUUUCGGGAUCGAAGUAAUGAUUAAUAGGGACAGUUGGAGGAAUGCGUAUUUUAUAGUUAGAGGUGAAAUUCUUAGAUUUAUGAAAGACCAACAACUGCGAAAGCAACCCACCACGGUGGUGGCGUAGUGGUUUGAGCAAGGGACCUCUC